rnacentral:rRNA from 1 species
GACGAACGCUGGCGGCAUGCCUAAUACAUGCAAGUCGAGCGAACAGAUGAAGUGCUUGCACUUCUGACGUUAGCGGCGAACGGGUGAGUAACACGUAAGGAAUCUACCUAUAAGCGGGGGAUAACAUUCGGAAACGGGUGCUAAUACCGCAUAAUAUCUUCUUCCGCUUGGAAGAAGAUUGAAAGACGGCUCUGCUGUCUCUUAUAGAUGACCUUGCGGUGCAUUAGUUAGUUGGUGGGGUAAUGGCCUACCAAGACGAUGAUGCAUCGCCGACCUGGGAGGGUGAUCGGCCACAUUGGGACUGAGACACGGCCCAAACUCCUAAGGGAGGCAGCAGUAGCGAAUCUUCCGCAAUGGGCGGAAGCCUGACGGAGCAAUGCCGCGUGAGUGAAGAAGGGCUUCGGGUCGUAAAACUCUGUUAUAAGAGAAGAACAAAUUGUAGAGUAACUGCUACAGUCUUGACGGUAUCUUAUCAGAAAGCCACGGCUAACUACGUGCCAGCCGCGGUAACAC